rnacentral:lncRNA from 1 species
AUGCCUCCAGGUUUCCCUCCACCAGUGGUGGGAGGACCAAGGAGCACCAAAGAUGACUCGGGGUCUAAAGACAAGGCUGGAGGGAGUGGUGGCCUCUCUGGCCCCUCAGACGCUCCAGACAGCCAGCUGGGAGCUCCAGGGCCAGGGGCCGUGAUGAGUCCUCCAGGCCCAGCAGUGUUACUGGGUCCCAGGAUGGCCAUGAUGACCAUGCAGCCUCGUUCAGGACUACAACCCCCUCAACUCCAGCCCCCUUUUGCCCCUCACCUCCCUCCCCCCAACAUGCCCCCAAUGAUGAUGGGCUCCAGGGGCCCCAACCCCAUGUUCCCCCCCAGGGGGGGCCCUCCAGGUGGGUUCAGGAUGCCCAUGGGCCACCAGUCCAUGGAGGACUUUCCUCACGGACCCCCCAGACAUCCCUUCCAGCCUGGACCCCCCAGACAUCCCUUCCAGCCCGGACCCCCCGGGGAAGAAGGUGGCAACUGGGAGGGCGGGAGACACUUCAGGGGCGAGAGGCCAGGGUUCGGGGGACAUGACAGGGAUUGGGGGAGGUUUGGGGAGCAGGUGAGAGGGUUUCCGAGAGGAGGAAGAGGAGGGGGUUGGUCCAGAGGUGGGCCUGAGGGGAGGGACCGCUUCAUGAACCGACAGGAUAGAUUUGAACGGUGAUGACAGGGCCAGGGGGGCGGAGCUGAAGAGACGGGGAUCAACAUCCAGGGUCCUGUCGGGAGAAACUCUUUUGGAACAGGAAUGAACGACCUAAACUCGUCCAAUAAAAACACAGAGUUUAGUUUUUUUCUACAGUGCGUGUAACUGAACACAACCCAGAUUAUCUGGCCUCAAGAGAACCACUUGGAGACUGGGCACAUUUUGAGUCGGGACACAAACAUUGAAAUGUACAGCCUGUCCCUGAUUAAUUUCUCUACCGUUCCAAAGACAUUAAGACUAACACAAAGAAACACUGUGGUCCGGUUACCCAGAAACAGAAUAGACCAAGUCCGUCAAUAAAAAGCAUGUUCAAUGGAGGACCUCUGUGAGAACGACUUCUUUAGUCCAGGACUAGGUUUAAUCUGUGUCUGGGGAAACCAACUCGGUGAGAAUAUCACAGUUUAAACCGACGGAAGUCUAAUUUUGCAGUCAGUUCAUGUGAAUAACUUUGUCCUAUUUUUGAGCUGGUAUAUUCUGACAGAAAACCACAGAGAGAAGAAUACUGCUUGGUAUAUAUUGUAUGUGCUGAUGGCCAAUAUCUUGUUUUGUAUAUUUUCAGUGAAUGUUUUGUUAAUUCUCAAGUAAGUCUGUCACUAGGCCAGUUAGAAAAAACAAACUGUUGAUUUGUUGUCAGUUUUACGGUUGGAUCUGAAAACACAAUGAUCUUUGUAUUGAUUGGGGGGAGGUGGAGGGGGAGGGGGGGGGGGCGCUUCAGAACACCAAAAUAUUUUGCUUCAGAAUUUGUAUCAUUAGCUGUUUUGUUUUUAGUAAACUAUUUUUGUACUAAGCAA